rnacentral:rRNA from 1 species
UACGGGGGGGGCAAGCGUUGUUCGGAAUUACUGGGCGUAAAGGGCUCGUAGGUGGCCAACUAAGUCAGACGUGAAAUCCCUCGGCUUAACCGGGGAACUGCGUCUGAUACUGGAUGGCUUGAGUUCGGGAGAGGGAUGCGGAAUUCCAGGUGUAGCGGUGAAAUGCGUAGAUAUCUGGAGGAACACCGGUGGCGAAGGCGACUACCUGGCCUGUUCUUGACGCUGAGGCGCGAAAGCUAGGGGAGCAAACGGG